CAUUUUUUUGGGGUUUCCCUCUCUUCUCACAUUUUCACUAUCCUGUUUUGCUCCCCCAAACCCGGCCUUAUUCCUUAAACACUAUCUAUAGUUCUACCUCUCUUCGUUCGGUUUCUUCCUCUUCGUCGUUCUCCUUCAUCCUUUCCUUCAUCGUUCUUUGGAGAUUUACGUUUCUGAAUAGUUGAUUGAGUCUUUGAAUUGGAGAUAAGAGAAAUUGGUGAAUCGUGUUUUUGAAUUGGCGAGAAGAACAAGGUUAUUUGUAAAUUUCUCUCCUAAUUUCCUAAUAAAUUUAAGAACUUGGGCUGUUUAUAUUAUUAAUCGAUUAAAGUUGGAUUAUUUUUUUUGUGGUUUUAAGGCUUUAUUAGAGUUUCUUAGUUAGGGAAAUUCGUAUGAUUUUUCUUUCUGGUUUUUUUUAUGCGUGUACGAUUUAAUUACAAAAUUCUUUGUUGAUUUCUCAUUAAAUUUUGGAGAUCGGUCAAUGGUUUUUUUUGGAUGAAUUUAGUUCUGAAUUUUGGUAGAAUUGUUUGAACAAUUAUAUUAAACUGAUUGAGAUUGAUUAUCAGGGGCAGAGGUACACUGUGUCAUCGUGUGUCACGUGACACAAGAUUAUUUUGAAAAAAAUAAAAUAAAAAAUUAAUCAAACCCACGGGAAAGCAGUAAGAGUUUAGAAACCUAAACAUUUUCACGCAAACCCCUCUACAAAUCUUUAGCUGUUGAAUUAUCGUCGACCGUCGCCCAACUCCCAACCGUUGUCUCCUUGUCGGAGUGAUCCGGCACCGUUCCACCGCCGACCGCUGGUCACCCACGAUCCACAAAGAAACAAAGUUACGAGCCAGGGUCACUCAAAGAAACAGCAGCGAAGCAACCAACCGGUUUUGAAGCCGUCGUCGGCUCGUGGCCCACGCUUCUCCACCACCGCACCAAUGGUCGACUCGCCACUUCUCGCUGACUCUUCGUUCCUCGCCGACUCGCCGUUGCAGUUUAGGAACUGGAGAAAAACCCUGGAACCUCGAGAAGCGACUCGUUGAAAUUAGUUUGUUUCACUCAAUUCACCAUAAUAAGGAUGGUAGAUAGAAGGAGAAUGGUAGAUAAAAGGAUUGCAUGAAGGGCAUAGAUUGAAGUUCGUUUGGACUGAUUUGGACAAAUAAAUUAAAUACUAGAUAGAUUUUAGAUUGCUCAAACUAUUAGUUCUUUUUGGAGAUUCAUUAGUUUUCUUAACUGAUGUAUUUAUAUUAUAACAAUGGUUUUUUUUAUUAGAAUGAUUGUUAUGGAUAUUUUAUUUUAAUAAUAAGCAAAACUUAAUUCAAAAUAAAUGUUUUCUA